rnacentral:misc_RNA from 1 species
GAAAUGCGAUAAGUAGUGUGAAUUGCAGAAUUCAGUGAAUCAUCGAAUCUUUGAACGCACAUUGCACCCCCUGGUAUUCCGGAGGGUAUGCCCGUUUCAGAAUCAUCAACAACACUCACUUCCUGCUUGGUGCUCAUCAGGCCUGGGAGUGGAGAUUGGACACUUUGGACUGUACUGGUCCAGCUGUCUGGAAAUGAUUGUGUGUGCUGUGCCGUGUGCGCUGGCUUGCCCAACAUUAGUGCAACAGGGUCAACUCCUUUACACUCUGAUGGGGAACUUGGCUGUGCGCCGCCUUGCUGCGGUAGGAACUGCAUACCACCCAAGAUGAACGAGUUGUGUUUCCACUUGGUUGGGAGCCCAACUCAUUACUUGGUCUGAAAUCGGGCAAGGAAACCCGCUG